ensembl:miRNA ocu-mir-449b ocu-mir-449b
AGGCAGUGUAAUGUUAGUUGGCUGCUUUGGGUCAAGUCAGCAGCCACAGGUACGCUGCCACU